GAGGUCUGGCGGUAAUGUAUCGAGUACCGCCGCCAUAGGGUGUGCUCUGGUGAGUCAUGGCAUACUUCUGGUAGCUUAAUGCUCUUUUUGAGUUGUUAGGUGUCCCGGAACUUUUACUUUGAGAAAAAUAGAGUGUUUCAGCAGGCUUGUCGCCCUGAAUACUGCAGCAUGGAAUAAUAAGAUAGGACCUUGGUUCUAUUUUGUUGGCUUCUAGGACUAAGGUAAUGAUUAAUAGGGACAGUUGGGGGCAUUCGUAUUUAACUGUCAGAAGGUGAAAUUCUUAGAUUUGUUAAAGACGAACUACUGCGAAAGCAUUUGCCAAGGAUGUUUUCAUUAAUCAAGAACGACAGUAGGGGGUUUGAAGACGAUUAGAUACCGUCGUAAUCUCUACCAUAAACUAUGCCGACUAGAGAUAGGGAAACGCCUACCUUGGCUUCUCCUGCAUCUCAUGAGAAAUCAAAGUCUCUGGGUUCUGGGGGGAGUAUGGUCGCAAGGCUGAAACUUAAAGGAAUUGACGGAAGGGCACCCCCAGGCGUGGACCCUGCGGCUUAAUUUGACUCACCACGGGGAAACUCCCCAGGUCCAGCCAUGGGAAGGAUUGACAGAUUGAUAGUUCUUUCUUGAUUCUAUGGGGGGUGGUGCAUGCCCGUUCUUAGUUGGUGGAGUGAUCUGUCUGGUUAAUUUCGAUAACGAACGAGCCCUUACCCUGCUAAAUAGGAUCGGGAACCAUUAUGGUUUUCGCAUCGCUUCUUAGAGGGACUUUGCGUGUCUAACGCAAGGAAGUUUGAGGCAAUAACAGGUCUGUGAUGCCCUUAGAUGUUCUGGGCUGCACGCGCGCUACACUGAUGCAUUCAACGAGUUUAUAACCUUGGCCGGAAGGUCUAGGUAAUCUUUUGAGUAUGCAUCGUGAUGGGGAUAGAUUAUUGCAAUUAUUAAUCUCAACGAGGAAUGCCUAGAGGCCC
rnacentral:rRNA from 1 species